GGUGGCUCAGUAGCAGAGUGCUUGCCUUGCAUGCAUGAGGCCCUGGGUUCAAUUCCUCAGCACCA
rfam:Dipodomys ordii contig_55509, whole genome shotgun sequence.